GGUUUUAUACCCUCUACUUCUAUGAGCUUGAAGAUUUAAUUUGAGAAUUUCUGUUAAAUUCUUGGUUGUCUGUAUCUUUAAGAAUUUAAGUCUGUGUAGCACCUGUUAACUAUGAAAUUCUUUGUUAGACAUGAGAGUAAAUUAGUGGAAAGAAAACUGGUAUCUAAGACUAUAUUUGACUACUCCGUACUUGUGGUUUUGAUGAUUAAACUAACUUAAAGGAUGCUAAUCUCAAUGGAAUUUAUUGAAGUUAAUAUGUUGCAGACUUGGAAAUGCGACUUCCUAGUGCAGAUUCCUUAGAGCCUACUUACCUUAAGUGUCAUUGUCUUGAUUGGAAAAUAUUAGGCUUAGUUUUUAGUUCAAUGAGAGAAUAAAGAUAGAAUGUUUUGAAUUUGAAGUUACAAUUUUUGUUGGACUCUUACCAUAAUGUUGACUUGUUCUGUUUCAUGUUUCUCAGGCCUCGAGGGUCUUGAAAAUGGAAAGAAAUAGUUUAGAGCAUCUUCUGCAACACUAUUGUGGAGUUACUGCCAACAAAGAGUACCAGAAUGCAGAUUGGAGAUUGCGUCCUCUUCCUAGUGAAAUGCUUAGGUCUACAAGCGAAGUUCUGAUGUAUGCAUGCAACUGUAUGAGAAGAGCUGCUGA